rnacentral:rRNA from 1 species
GACGAACGCUGGCGGCGUGCUUAACACAUGCAAGUCGAACGGUGAAGGGAUCAGCUUGCUGGUUCUGGAUGAGUGGCGAACGGGUGAGUAACACGUGAGUAACCUGCCCCCUUCUUCUGGAUAACCGCAUGAAAGUGUGGCUAAUACGGGAUAUUCUGCGCCUGCUGCAUGGUGGGUGUGGGAAAGAUAUUGUUUCGGUGGGGGAUGGGCUCGCGGCCUAUCAGCUUGUUGGUGGGGUGAUGGCCUACCAAGGCGGUGACGGGUAGCCGGCCUGAGAGGGUGGACGGUCACACUGGGACUGAGACACGGUCCAGACUCCUACGGGAGGCAGCAGUGGGGAAUAUUGGACAAUGGGCGAAAGCCUGAUCCAGCCAUGCCGCGUGUGUGAAGAAGGUCUUCGGAUUGUAAAGCACUUUAAGUUGGGAGGAAGGGCAGUAAGUUAAUACCUUGCUGUUUUGACGUUACCAACAGAAUAAGCACCGGCUAACUUCGUG